rnacentral:lncRNA from 1 species
CCUGUUUGGUUUACACUGGUUUACAUUCCUUGAGAAGGUAACCCCUUUCUUCUGAAAUGCAUUUGAACUGAAAUCAUCGUGGGCAGCUCUACACAGGGGGCAAGAAACAAGCUGCAUCCAUCAAAUGAUUUAUUUCAUUACAAGGAGCAUACCUAGGUCCAGAAAGCAUUGUGCUGGCUGUGCCUCUGUCAGUCAUUGCCCAGAGGGUUCAAUUAGUAUUAGGGAGGUUGCCUGCUGACCUUUCAUUUUGCUCUACACUAGGAUUUCCAUUCUGACUGAUGAAGCCACAUGUCACUAUGAUUUCACUAGCAUCUGUAAAAGAGUGCCUGCUGCAGCUUCCACUUUACAUUAGUCUUCUGUGCUUCUCCUUUGAUCUUGUACUGAAACAUGCCACACCAUCACGCCAGAAAAAAAACAAAACCUCCAUGUCCUUCUUUGAUCUGCACUCUCGUGUCCUGAUGAGAAGAGAAUGGAACAACUGAACUGAACAAAGACGGUCAAAUGGCUUAUGAAACAAUGGGAUAGACACUGGGAGGUAGGUGAAAUUUAUUAUUUUGUACUAUCUAUUUUAAAUUCUCCUAUAGUUUCACUUGGACAGUGUUGGUGGACAGUAAAAGAAGUUGUUGGGGUCUCUCUAGAGAUCAUUUCUUUUUUUUUUUUUUUUUUUUCAUUAUAAUUAAUUUGUCACCCUUGCCUUAUUCAGUUUUUUUCUCGGGAUGUCAAUUUUUGAUUUCAGGUGACCUCAGAUCACAAGACUCACAUUUUUAAAGCUACUUAGAUUUUCUCCAUUUAGCUUUGCAAGCCUAAGUAGCUUUCAAGGGGCUCUGGGAGAUGAAAUGUUUAGGAAAUGGAGAAAAUGGGACUCAGUUGUCAAAAUCACUCAUACCAUGCAAUGUAUUUAUGAUUUGUGGCUCUAAGAACCUUUGGAAAUGAGACCUUGAUUUUGUUUUGUGUUAAUACAGUACCAUCAAGAAGGUACCCUUUUCUAUGAUUACUGCUAUUAUGAUAGAACUAAAAAGGACUGAGAGCCUAUGUAACUGAAGAGGAAAGUUUUAAAAUGUAAACCCUAGAGGUUCAAGUUUGUAAAUAAAUAAAGAUCAAUAUCUAAUGCA